AUUGAACGCUGGCGGCAUGCUUUACACAUGCAAGUCGAGCGGCAGCGCGGGAGCAAUCCUGGCGGCGAGCGGCGAACGGGUGAGUAAUGCAUCGGAACGUGUCCCGUAGUGGGGGAUAACGCCGCGAAAGCGGCGCUAAUACCGCAUAUGCUCUACGGAGGAAAGUGGGGGCUCCGCAAGGACCUCACGCUAUGGGAGCGGCCGAUGUCCGAUUAGCUUGNGGUGAGGUAAAGGCUUACCAAGGCGACGAUCGGUAGCUGGUCUGAGAGGAUGAUCAGCCACACUGGGACUGAGACACGGCCCAGACUCCUACGGGAGGCAGCAGUGGGGAAUUUUGGACAAUGGGGCAACCCUGAUCCAGCCAUGCCGCGUGCGGGAAGAAGGCCUCGGUUGUAA
rnacentral:rRNA from 1 species